CGGUAAUCAACCAGAAAGUCACGGCUAACUACGUGCCAGCAGCCGCGGUAAUACGUAGGUGGCAAGCGUUGUCCGGAUUUAUUGGGCGUAAAGCGAGCGCAGGCGGAAAAAUAAGUCUAAUGUGAAAGCCCUCGGCUUAACCGAGGAAUUGCAUCGGAAACUGUUUUUCUUGAGUGCAGAAGAGGAGAGUGGAACUCCAUGUGUAGCGGUGGAAUGCGUAGAUAUAUGGAAGAACACCAGUGGCGAAGGCGGCUCUCUGGUCUGCAACUGACGCUGAGGCUCGAAAGCAUGGGUAGCGAACAGGAUUAGAUACCCUGGUAGUCCAUGCCGUAAACGAUGAGUGCUAAGUGUUGGGAGGUUUCCGCCUCUCAGUGCUGCAGCUAACGCAUUAAGCACUCCGCCUGGGGAGUACGACCGCAAGGUUGAAACUCAAAGGAAUUGACGGGGGGCCCGCACAAGCGGUGGAAGCAUGUGGUUUAAUUCGAAGCAACGCGAAGAACCUUACC
rnacentral:rRNA from 1 species